rnacentral:lncRNA from 12 species
CUCACUGUGUGCGUAUGCGUGUUUUGGGGGGGAAAUAGGAUAGACACCGACUGGAAGGACAUCUCCCUUUCUUCCUGACAGUCUGACAGUUAAAUAUAGCUAUGAACGUCCAGUCACAGCAAGGUGUACAAUUCUUCCCUCACGUCUCCUUCACGGCAGCCCAGGAGGAGAGCGAGGGAUAAAGAGUAAUGGGUAUGACUGGAAGGAAGCCGGAGCCAUGGUGGCGCAGGUACCCUUGAAAGAAGGAACAGAGGGACAGGCUCACUUGCUUUGCCACAGCUAUCUCCCCUUCCAAGAAACUAAAAGGAAGAAGGGAGAAGGAAGUUACUUCUUCCCACCUUGCUUCCUGUUGCUGUCAACGUCACUCCAGAAUUGGUUCUUCAUGCCGCAGCUGGUUUCAUGCCAACAGGAUCUUCCACACCCUCAGAAUCAGCUUGGCUGCACCCCUGGGAGAAGCCAGCUCCAGCCUGCAGCCUCCCUGUUCCCAGGUGUGGGUCCCUGUUCCAUAGGUCUCCUCCUGCAAACUUUUCAAAUCUGGUAAUCCCACCCACUUCCCUCAUUCCCAGGGGUGGGAGCUGCUUCCUUGUUUACUGCCCCUGUGAGGGGCGCCUGGGUGGCUCAGUCGGUUAAGCACCUGCCCUCAGCUCAGGUCAUGACCCCAGGAUCCUGGGAUGGAGCCCAGAAUCAGGCUCCUGCUCAGCAAGGAACUUGCUUCUCCCUCUCCCUUUGUCGCUUCCCCAUGCUCGUGCAUGCUCUCUCUCUCUCUGUCUCUUUCUAUCAAAUAAAUAAAAUCUUUAAAAAAAGAAAAAAUUAACU